rnacentral:ncRNA from 1 species
AACCGCCGUAUACGGAACCGUACGUACGGUGGUGUGAGAGGUCGGAGGUUAAUCAUCUCCUCCUACUCGAU